UCGAAAAUAAUGAUUGAAGUAGUAGGGCUUCGUGUAUAUGUUCUGCUGAGAAAUAAUUCUAUUCUCUUUCAUUAAAAUUGGAGAGGACAAUUUGGUAUUGUAUGUUGCCCAUAAUUAAGAUGACCUUACUUAUGGUGUGUUUGGUUCGCACUAUCUUUUAAAGAUUCCUAGUAAUCCAAUAGGAAUUAAAAAAUAUGACGGUGUUUGGCUAAACGCAAUAAGUAAUCUAGUUGGUAAUAUUGGAUUCACUUGGGAAUAAGAUUAAUCUCAUUCCCUUGAGGAAUGAUGUGUAUCUUCAUAUUAAUGGAUUGGGGUAAUCAUAAUAUGUCUACUCUCUUUCUUUCUCCCUAUCCGCCGGCUAAUCGAUAUUAUUUUUCUUUACACUCUAACGUCGUAUUUUUCUCUAAACUUAUUUUUCUCUUUAAAAUUCAACUUUUUUUUCUCUCUCUAAACUAAGCUUUAUCUCUCUCUCUUUCUAAAAUCUCAACUCUCCCACUUUCUCUAAUUUCGACACUAUUUCUCUUUCUAUUUUUUUUAAUUAUGCUCUCUCUCUCUAACUUAUGCUCUCUCUUUCUUUUUUCUAAAAAAAUGUUGAAACUUUUGGUAGCACUAUCUAAAAUUAAUAAAUAAAUAAAUAAAUAAAUUGUAUAUUUUUUGGAAUAUUAAAUAAUAUGGCUAAAUAAUAUUACCGUGCGAACUAAACACUGAAAUUUCACAUUCUUAGUAAUAGGAUAAAUAGGAAUAAGAUUUUCAGACAUCUUUUCAUUCCUAGUAAUAUUUUAUAAUGCAAACCAAACGCACCCUACUGGUAAUGCUAUGCAGGCCCUGCACCUCCACUUUUCAGGUUCUUGUGUCAAGUCAAAACAAUGAUUUUGAAGCAUCAGAAUAAAGAAAUUCCUGCUAUUACGAGGCUGCGUGCUCUUUUGGUACCAAUAUGUGCAAGUGAGACCUUUUUCUGUGUCUCCAAAUCAUGGGCCACCGAAAGAUUUCAGAGAAAUGUAUUUCUAUAAUCCUUUUCCGAGCCUGGCGCAGGUGAAGG
rnacentral:lncRNA from 1 species